UAGCCAUUGGUUGUUCAUGGUUGGCC
rnacentral:piRNA from 1 species